GAUGAAGAACGCAGUGAAAUGCGAUAAGUAAUGUGAAUUGCAGAAUUCAGUGAAUCAUCGAAUCUUUGAACGCACCUUGCACCCUUUGGCAUUCUGAAGGGUAUGCUCGUUUGAGUGUCAUUGUACUCUCACACUCCCGAUCUUUGCAUUGGGAGCAGUGGACUUGGGUUUGCUGCUUCACCGUCGCUUACCUCAAAUAGGUUAGUGCAACUCUUGGUUGGACAUAGUACGGCGUGAUAAGUGUUCUUCGCCGGUGCCUCGCAAAGAGGGUGGCCGAUCGGGAUGUUGUGCUCCAAACCGUCUUCGGACAAUCUCUGACGACUUGACCUCAAAUCGAGUAAGACUACCCGCUGAACUUAAGCAUAUCAAUGAGCGGAGGA
rnacentral:misc_RNA from 1 species